GGAGCAAGCAAGUGGGGAUAUUGCACAAUGGCGCAAGCUGAUGCAGCUACGCCGCCGUGCGGAUGACGGCUUCGAGUGUUAAUCGCUUUCAGUAGGGACGAAGGUAACUGGACGGUACCUACAGAAGAAGGACCGGCCAACUACGUGCCAGCAGCCGCGGUGAUACGUAGGGUCCGAGCGUUGUCCGGAAUUAUUGGGCGUAAAGGGCUGUAGGCGGUCUGUCACGUCGGAGGUGAAAACUCAGGGCUUAACCCUGAGCCUGCUUCCGAUACGGGCAGACUAGAGGGAUGCAGGGGAGAACGGAAUUCCUGGUGGAGCGGUGGAAUGCGCAGAUAUCAGGAGGAACACCGGUGGCGAAGGCGGUUCUCUGGGCAUUUCCUGACGCUGAGAAGCGAAAGCGUGGGUAGCAAACAGGCUUAGAUACCCUGGUAGUCCACGCCGUAAACGGUGGGCACUAGGUGUGGGGAACAUUCCACGUUCUCCGUGCCGCAGCUAACGCAUUAAGUGCCCCGCCUGGGGAGUACGGCCGCAAGGCUAAAACUCAAAGGAAUUGACGGGGGCCCGCACAAGCGGCGGAGCAUGCGGAUUAAUUCGAUGCAACGCGAAGAACCUUACCUGGGUUUGACAUAUACCGGAAAGCCGCAGAGAUGCGGUCCCCGAAAGGUCGGUAUACAGGUGGUGCAUGGCUGUCGUCAGCUCGUGUCGUGAGAUGUUGGGUUAAGUCCCGCAACGAGCGCAACCCUCGUCCUAUGUUGCCAGCGGAUCAUGCCGGGGACUCAUAGGAGACUGCCGGGGUCAACUCGGAGGAAGGUGGGGAUGACGUCAAGUCAUCAUGCCCCUUAAGUCCAGGGCUUCACGUAUGCUACAAUGGCUGGUACAAAGGGCUGCAAUACCGCAAGGUUGAGCGAAUCCCAAAAAGCCAGUCUCAGUUCGGAUUGGGGUCUGCAACUCGACCCCAUGAAGUCGGAGUCGCUAGUAAUCGCAGAUCAGCAACGCCGCGGUGAAUACGUUCCCGGG
rnacentral:rRNA from 1 species